rnacentral:rRNA from 1 species
CCUACGGGCUGCACCAGUGGGGAAUAUUGCACAAUGGCGCAAGCCUGAUGCAGCCAUGCCGCGUGUGUGAAGAAGGCCUUCGGGUUGUAAAGCACUUUCAGCGGGGAGGAAGACGAUAAGGUUAAUAACCUUGUCGAUUGACGUUACCCGCAGAAGAAGCACCGGCUAACUCCGUGCCAGCAGCCGCGGUAAUACGGAGGGUGCAAGCGUUAAUCGGAAUUACUGGGCGUAAAGCGCACGCAGGCGGUCUGUCAAGUCGGAUGUGAAAUCCGCGGGCUCAACCUGGGAACUGCAUUCGAAACUGGUAGGCUAGAGUCUUGUAGAGGGGGGUAGAAUUCCAGGUGUAGCGGUGAAAUGCGUAGAGAUCUGGAGGAAUACCGGUGGCGUAGGCGGCCCCCUGGACAAAGACUGACGCUCAGGUGCGAAAGCGUGGGGAGCAAACAGGAUUAGAUACCCCCGUAGUC